UUGUUCGCCAAAUAACUACGAGUAGUAACUUAAAACUUAAAAGACUUGACGGUGCUUCACCACAACCUAGAGGAGCCUGUCUAAUAACCGAUAACCCACGAUUAACCCGACCCUUCUCGCCAACAGUCUAUAUACCACCGUCGUAAGCUUACCCUAUAAACGGUACAAAGUGAGCUACAUAGUUUUACACUAAAACGACAGGUCGAGGUGUAACCCAUGAAGGGGGCAAAGAUGGGCUACAUUCUCUUAUCAGAGAACACGAAUUUCACUAUGAAUAUAGUGACUGAAGGAGGAUUUAGCAGUAAGAUAGGAAUAAAACACCUAACUGAACAUAAAGCAAUGAAGUGCGUACACACCGCCCGUCAUCCCUGCCUAC
rnacentral:rRNA from 1 species